CCUAACUGAAUUGGCUUAAGCAGCAUGCCGGUAGAUAUAGAGGCUGGAGUCCAUUAGCUUUCUAGCGAGGCUCCAACACAAACUGUUGAUACUCCUCCCACCACAGCCUAAGAAAUUGUGGCAGAGGCGGGGUCAAAAAUCAAAGGACACAAACUUAACGGUGAUUAGCUGAAGAGCCAGAGGUGACAUCAGGAAACGUUUUUCCGAGCAGUGAGCUGUUACGACCCGGACUGCACUGAACGAAAGGAAUGAGCGAAACCAGAAAAUCCACCUGUAAUUCUUUCUGCCAACCACUGGAUACCAGCACUGCAGUCGCUUCUGCUUGGUUCCCGGAUCUCUCCAAGGAAAGGCACCUCAAUAUCAUGGAUAUCAACUGCCUCAUGGAACUUGCCACUUUUCAAAAGCUCCCCUUUCAGUACCCUGCCUGAUGAGAAUAUCAUCUACGCAGCAACCCAUCGCAUACACCAACGAAUUGACCUGCUCACUGCUCUCCUUCGAAGCAAGGCCCAACACAGUUCAAUAUCUGGAAAAUCUCUGAUACUAAUUGAGCCAUGCUUCUGCUUGGUUGGGGCCUGUGACUUCCUCAAAGCUUUCCAGUAAAGAUGCUGCCGGACCAGCUGAGCAUUUUCUGUUUUUAUAACAAAAGGAAACGUUCUUCUCAUUAUCACAUGACGAUUUGCUGUUUGCACAUUGGCUGCCAUGUUUCUUACAUUCCAAAAGUGAUGACACUCCAGAAAGAACUCCAUCGCCCGUGAGGCACUAUGAGCCACCCUGAACCAUGGGGUGGGGGGGUAAAAAGCGAUAUAUAAAUGCAAGCCUUUUUCUCAAAGUGAGAAAUCUUGAUUUGCCCUCAAAUUGUGUAAGAGGGGGAGGUUUUUAGAGUGGAAAUGUGAAAUUAUGGAACAGGACGUGUGGGGUCUGAGAUCAGGGGAUCGAGGGUGGGACUCAGCUGAAAGUCGGGAGCCAAAGGAAUGAGGUCUCGCAGCUUGGAGACUUCAUUAUAGCUUAAGUGCAAUAUAAUUACAGGGGAAAACACAAUCAUUUAAUCAGACUGCAUCCUGAGGCUAUAUUACUCCACAUAACCUUCAAAUCAAGGUUCUAAGACCGAAGCAUCAUCAAAAGAAAUAAUUUUGAUGUUACAGAAAACUAAGGGAUGUUUUAUUCCAUAAAGUAAAUGGAAGUUAAAUUUCUGCCGUGAAAGAUCAGCCAAAUAUUGUGGAUUGCCGUUUU